UGUAAUUUGAAAGGGAAGUCAUGACUCUUGAUGAGUGGAAAAUUUUAGGAUCCUGCCAAGAGGGAAUUUGGAGAGCAAAUGAUAUCCCAUGUUGAUACGUUCACCAGUGGCGUAUACUCUUCAUAUAAAGGAGAUCAUCCUGUACAACAAACCAGUAAGAUCUUAACAUUUUUCUUUUCUGAAUUUAAGUAAAGAAAAUGAGAAUAUAGAAUUUUUGAAUGGUUUAAAACUGACAAUUUGAAUCAGGUGCUGCUUUUGAUUACUUGGAGAAGGCUCUUGGUAAAUUUGAUGAUGGACGAUUCUUUCUUGGCCAAUUUAGUUUGGUAAGUUGAAAUUCUCAUCAAUCUUGAAAUUUUGUUCAGUUGUGUUGAUUUCACUGUAAAAGUUGUAUGAAAGUUAGAACCUUCUGUGAUGUAGUCAGUCAUAGAAGGAAAAAAGAGACGUAGCCAUAUCAGAUGUAAUGAAAAGUUUUGUUGUAUCAUAGUAUAAUAAUUUCCCCCUAUCACUGAUGAUUUUAAACAAUGUGGUUAUGAUCAGGCGGAUAUUGCCUAUAUUUCCUUUAUACCUCUGUUUUUUUAAGUGAAACUGCUAUAUUCGAGUCAAGAACAUUUAUAUACAAUAAUAAUAUUGUAAAAAAAAAAAAUUCAGAAUUUUGUUUUCAUGGUGUAAAACAAAUCGUAAUUAAAAUUUUCUUCGUGGAAAUCAUGGCAAAUACACCUGAGGCAUAUGCAAGGUGCAAUUCGUCCAACUAACAAAACUAACUAAUUUACUUAUUAAUAUUAAGGCGUAAAAGAUGAAAAUGAACCAUGUCGCAGACUGCCAAAAUAUCUUCCUAGCAGCUCUUUGAGGCCAUUUUUCGAACUGUAGGUAUGCAAAAGAACGGCAUUCUAAAUUUCGAAAUCCAAUUCCAAAAACAAUGAAGAUGUUUCUUAACCUCGUUCACCAAAUAAUGUAGUAAAAAAUGAUAAUACCUGAAUUAAUUCCCCCUUUUGCAUUCCCCACAAAAAUGACGGGUGAAUUCAGAUUCAAGAAGUUUAAUUAGCUGGAACAUGCUAAUGCUGAAAGUUAAAGUUACGAGUUUUCAUAAAAGGAAAAGAAAUUGCGGGAACAGAACAGAAUAAGAGGGAAUUACAGAGAGAAUGGAAACUGGAAAAGUGUAAGAUGGAAUAAGAAUACAGAGAUGAAGUUGACAUUUUGGAGGGUCCACUGAAAACAAAAAAGACAGUACCUGAUGCGAAACAAAGCGAAAGAUCUCAAAUAUGUUGUUUCUUCUGACCCUGUCUCUCAUACGAAUUGAAGAUCACAGUUACUUGUAGCACCAAACCCUCUUUCUCUUUCUCUUCUUGCGAGGACGGAAAUCAAUUCUUGCCAAAUGCUAUGACAGGGCAGUGUUUGGAUUCAAGCCUGAGUUUAGAAUAAGCCAGAAGCACAUCAUACAAAACAAAAAAACCACGUAACUAUCGUCAAGUUCUAGAACAGAGACUGUGUCUUCAAUUUGUGCUGCGGUGUAGGAAAUAUUAA
rnacentral:lncRNA from 1 species